rnacentral:sRNA from 1 species
UGUAAGCUUCACCACAUACCAGACAAUAUC